rfam:Ictidomys tridecemlineatus contig005670, whole genome shotgun sequence.
GUGGUUGUGGCUCAAUGGUAGAGUGCUUGCUUAGCAUGUAUAAGGCACUGGGUUUGAUCCUCAGCACCACA